GUUUAUCAAAAACAUUGCCUUAAGAGAAUUGAUUUAAGGUAAAUCUGCCCGGUGAAUUUACAUUUAACGGCCGCGGUAUUCCUGACCGUGCUAAGGUAGCACAAUAAUGAGCCCUCUAAUUAGGGGAUAGAAUGAAUGAAUUAACAAGAAAAAUCCUGUCUCUCUUUUACCCAAUGAAAUUUAGUUUUAGGUGAAAACUCCUAAAUUCUAGAUAAAGACAGAAAGACCCUAUAAGCUAUUAUAUAAACGUAAUAUAAACGCCAUGUAUAUUUAAUUGGGGCGAUUACAAGUUAUAAACACUUGACUCAUAAAGGGAAAUAACCCUACAACUAUAUCUAGAAACAAACAAGUAAGUUACUAUAGGGAUAACAGGUUAAUAUUUCUUAAGAGCACAAAUCGACAGAAAUGCUUAACACCUCGAUGUUGGCUUAAGGACCCCAUUUCAUGCAGAAGUAAAAAAGGGGGGUUUGUUCAACCUUUAAUUCCUUACAUGAUCUGA
rnacentral:rRNA from 1 species